rnacentral:rRNA from 1 species
AGAGUACCAAUUGGAGGGCAAGUCUGGUGCCAGCAGCCGCGGUAAUUCCAGCUCCAAUAGCGUAUAUUAAACUUGUUGCAGUUAAAAAGCUCGUAGUUGAAUUUCAGCGUUUCGCGUGUGCCUCUUUUGGCCCAUCUCGUCUCGCUUUUUUUAUUACUUUGAGAAAAUUAGAGUGUUUCAAGCAGGCUUUUGUCUUGAAUACUUGAGCAUGGAAUAAUAGAGUAGGACCUUGGUUCUAUUUUGUUGGUUUUGUUACCUUGGUAAUGGUUAAUAGGAACGGUUGGGGGCAUUCGUAUUUAACUGUCAGAGGUGAAAUUCUUAGAUUUGUUAAAGACGAACUACUGCGAAAGCAUUUGCCAAGGACGUUUCCAUUAAUCAAGAACGAAAGUUAGGGGAUCGAAGACGAUCAGAUACCGUCGUAGUCCUAACC